CCAGGAUGUUGGCUUAGAAGCAGCCAUCAUUUAAAGAAAGCGUAAUAGCUCACUGGUCGAGUCGGCCUGCGCGGAAGAUGUAACGGGGCUAAACCAUGCACCGAAGCUGCGGCAGCGAACGUAUCACCCAAGACAACUUUACGGAGUUGACGAUUGACGGAGCGAAGCGACGUCAAAGCGUUCAUUAAAGUCGAGUUGGCUUAGGGAUACGUUCGUUGGGUAGGGGAGCGUUCUGUAAGCCUGUGAAGGUGGCCUGUGAGGGUUGCUGGAGGUAUCAGAAGUGCGAAUGCUGACAUAAGUAACGAUAAAGCGGGUGAAAAGCCCGCUCGCC
rnacentral:rRNA from 2 species